rnacentral:rRNA from 1 species
GACGAACGCUGGCGGCGUGCUUAACACAUGCAAGUCGAACGGAAAGGCCCUGCUUUUGUGGGGUGCUCGAGUGGCGAACGGGUGAGUAACACGUGAGUAACCUGCCCUUGACUUUGGGAUAACUUCAGGAAACUGGGGCUAAUACCGGAUAGGAGCUCCUGCUGCAUGGUGGGGGUUGGAAAGUUUCGGCGGUUGGGGAUGGACUCGCGGCUUAUCAGCUUGUUGGUGGGGUAGUGGCUUACCAAGGCUUUGACGGGUAGCCGGCCUGAGAGGGUGACCGGCGACAUUGGGACUGAGAGACGGCCCAGACUCCUACGGGAGGCAGCAGUGGGGAAUAUGGCACAAUGGGCGGAAGCCUGAUGCAGCAACGCCGCGUGCGGGAUGACGGCCUUCGGGUUGUAAACCGCUUUCGCCUGUGACGAAGCGUGAGUGACGGUAAUGGGUAAAGAAGCACCGGCUAACUACGUG